rnacentral:lncRNA from 1 species
AAUUCGAUUUUAAAGAUGGAAUAUAUAUAUAUAUGUAUAUAUUUCUGUAUAUUUUUUUUUUAAGUGUAGUUUGAAAUCGGGAGUGGUGAAUGAAAGAUUCGGUAAACACAAACAAAUCGGAUGUUUGAGUAAUUAAGUGAUAAAAGUCGUUUGAAGGAAUCAGGAUAAUCGGUUCGUCGAAUUUGAAAUUUCUCGGAUCUAAAGUGUGAUUGAUAUCGAUAGAAACGUUUAUACGAUGUUUCUAAAUGGAAACACGUUUCCCAUGCAGUGGUAAAGACGAAUGUCGUUGAACUGUCAGUCGGUCGGGUACUUUCGAUCACCUGUAAAGCAACCAAUGACCGCGUUUUCGUAAAACGUCGUUGUCUCUUGAUUGAAAGAAACUCGCCGGUAUAUCGAUGUGUGUGUUUUUCAUUCGAAAAAAGAAAUGAAGAAACGUCAGUGUGAUUGCUGAAUCUAUAAAAAUGCAUUAAAUCACCAAUGAAAACGACGCGCGGCAUGACACCGUUAUUGCUUGCAAAUUGACUCGGUUUUCCGUGAAGCUCCGUCGAGGUCACCGCGCCCGGCUGCAGCUGAGCUCCCAGCUGACGAAUGGAGGCUGCGACCGGUUCGCCAUGUUCCUUCUUUUUUUUUUAAAGGCCACCUCCUUCUUUUUCCCUUUAAAUCGCCUUUCACGUGCUCCGCGACCCUCCUUGCUGUUCUCUCUUCUCCUCCUUCACCUCCUCUUCCUCCUUCUCCCUCUCCUUCAUCGCCUCCUCUCCUGGCUUCUUCUGCACCGUUUCCUCCUAGAAAAUCGUAUUGUUCGUGGUGUACGUCGUGCGCACCCGAGAAUGCUCGACUUCGCCGAACCAGUUCCGAACCGUUUCUUUUGUGCGUCUCUUCUUCGUGGCACAUUCAACCCGCGCGCUCUCCGCGGCACCACGAUACUGGCUUGUGUUUCAAGGUGACAACGAUACGGUGCAACGCGCGCGAUUUUUCGAGGGUGCAACGUUAUUUCUUCUUAAAAUCAUAUUUCGUGGAUCGUGUGAUCUAAACAUUGCUGCGAAGAAUAAUCAAUCGAUGUCGUUCGCACGAACGAAUUCGAUUCAGCGAAUUACACAGAUCGAUGUCAAUCGUUCAAAAAUAGUGUUUUCUUUUUGAUACUUGAGAUAAUAAUGUGUAGUGUUUCUUUUUCACACAGUUCUAAAUUUCGUCGUGCAUCGAAACGUCCAAUGGAUUAACGUCGCGACGUGGCGGUGAACAGGAGAGGCAAAGGACAAUCCCGUUCCAAUUUGGAAUUUCGAAGACGUUUCAGCGUUAGGAAUCGUUCGUAACGAUCUUUGUUACACGGUGUUAAUCGCGGAAGCUCAAGAGCCCGAACGAGCGAGGACAAAACGAGAAAAUCCGAGGGAAACUACUCGACUAACACCGAGUCACCCUUGUAUCAUAAGCAGAUUAGAUUAGAUUAAAUUAAAUACCGAACGCUUCUCGCUUGUCGUUAGAAUCACGACGAACGAACUUGUACAUCGUAUAUAUACGUGGUGUAGCCUGAGGUACGGCCAUAAACAGAGAGAGAAAAAGAGAUAGAGAGAG